AACGAACGCUGGCGGCAGGCCUAACACAUGCAAGUCGAGCGCCCCGCCAGGGGAGCGGCGGACGGGUGAGUAACGCGUGGGAACGUACCCUUUGCUACGGAAUAGCCUCGGGAAACUGGGAGUAAUACCGUAUGUGUCCUUCGGGAGAAAGAUUUAUCGGCAAGGGAUCGGCCCGCGUUGGAUUAGGUAGUUGGUGGGGUAAUGGCCUACCAAGCCGACGAUCCAUAGCUGGUUUGAGAGGAUGAUCAGCCACACUGGGACUGAGACACGGCCCAGACUCCUACGGGAGGCAGGAGUGGGGAAUCUUAGACAAUGGGCGCAAGCCUGAUCGAGCCAUGCCGCGUGAGCGAUGAAGGCCUUAGGGUUGUAAAGCUCUUUCAGGGGGGAAGAUAAUGACUGUACCCCCAGAAGAAGCCCCGGCUAACUCCGUG
rnacentral:rRNA from 1 species